UGCAGGAGAUCAUCCAUGGAGCCUGCAGGAGAUCAUCCAUGGAGCCUGCAGGAGAUCAUCUAUGGAGUCUGCAGGAGAAUACUAAAAAUGUUCCCUAAUGCACACUAUAUCGAAGGAGAGAAGUACCUGUGGAUGGGCAUGCUUUACUGUACAGGUUAAGACCAUCUAAGGUCUCAGGUUAAUGUAUUUAUGACAUGUUGUCUUUGAGAUAUAAUUGACAUGAUGUUGCAUCUCGGAUGCACAGUCUAUUUAUCUGAUAGCUUUAUAUUGCACAGUGGUUGCCGUGUGGCAAUAGCUGACACUUCUGUGGUGUCUUCUGUGGUGGGAGCACAUGUCACGUUUGAUGCUUAUGAUCACGUCAUUGUGUGUAACUCCGUCCUGUGUAACUCCCUCCGGGGCCUCCAGGAACCAUUGACCUACUAGUUGCAAUCCUUUUUGUUUUGUUUGUUUGUUUCAGAUUCCACCUAUAAGGGACAUCAUGCAGGGUUUGUCCUUCUCUGUCUCACUUAUCUCAGCAUAAUGUCCUCAAGGUCCACCCGUGUUUCACAGAUGACAGGAUUUCCUCCUGUCUCGAGGUUGAACAAUACUCUAUUGUGUGUGUGUGUGUGUGUGUGUGUGUGUGUGUGUAUCACACCUUCUUUCAUCCAUCGCUGGCACUAGGCUGUCCGCACUUCCUGGCUGUUGUGAACAUGCUGUAAUAAAUACGGGUGCAUAUGUCUGUUCAAAAAAAAAAAAA